GCCCCAGGCAUUAAAACAAUGCUGAACUCUAACUCCCUAUCAGGCGGCAUACCCGGCAGUUCAUCUGGAAAUACAUGAGGAAACUCACAAACUACAGGUCUGCUGAAAAUUUGGUGUUGUGGAUUAUUAUUGGUUGAUUUCUGCGCAUUGCCUCUACUGUAAUCUUCCCUCCAGAUCGGCGCCGCCGCCAGCGACGGGAAAGAUGCCGCUGCUAGAUCCUCCACACUCUCUCUCCCCUGACGUGAAUCCCCAUAUUAUCCCCAUGAAUUUCAGCCUCAACUCUCGAAUCCCCCUCUGUGUGUGUGUUCUUUUGGCUUGCAGGUCA